UACAGAGGUCCCGAGCGUUGUUCGGAUUUAUUGGGCGUAAAGGGUGCGUAGGCGGCGGAGUAAGUUGGGUGUGAAAUCCCGGGGCUUAACCUCGGAAUUGCAUUCAAUACUGCUUCGCUCGAGUACUGGAGAGGAGGCUGGAAUUUACGGUGUAGCAGUGAAAUGCGUAGAUAUCGUAAGGAAGGCCGGUGGCGAAAGCGAGCCUCUGGACAGUUACUGACGCUGAUGCGCGAAGGCCAGGGGAGCAAACGGG
rnacentral:rRNA from 1 species